rnacentral:rRNA from 1 species
UACGGGGGGGGCAAGCGUUGUUCGGAAUUACUGGGCGUAAAGGGCUCGUAGGCGGCCAACUAAGUCGGACGUGAAAUCCCCAGGCUCAACCUGGGAACUGCGUCCGAUACUGGAUGGCUUGAAUUCGGGAGAGGAUAGCGGAAUUCCCAGUGUAGAGGUGAAAUUCGUAGAUAUUGGGAAGAACACCGGUGGCGAAGGCGGCUAUCUGGACCGACAUUGACGCUGAGGCGCGAAAGCGUGGGGAGCGAACAGG